AAAAACAACUUCUCUCAUGAAUGGCACACAUAGGGCAGUUUGAUUACUCUCUGUGCAGUGUAAACAUCAAGAGGUUCAGAGAGCAUAAUUUUUUAGUAUCUGGGAAGCUGGUGAUUGUUGGUCCUGGCAUCUGA